UGGGGAAUAUUGGGCAAUGGGCGAAAGCCUGACCCAGCCAUGCCGCGUGAGUGAUGAAGGCCUUAGGGUUGUAAAACUCUUUCGCUCGGGAAGAUAAUGACGGUACCGAGUAAAGAAGCCCCGGCUAAUUUCGUGCCAGCAGCCGCGGUAAUACGAAAGGGGCUAGCGUUGUUCGGAAUUACUGGGCGUAAAGCGCGCGUAGGCGGCCUGCCAAGUUGGGGGUGAAAUCCCGGGGCUCAACCCCGGAACUGCCUCCAAAACUGGCAAGCUAGAGGGUGUGAGAGGAUAGUGGAAUUCCGAGUGUAGAGGUGAAAUUCGUAGAUAUUCGGAAGAACACCGGUGGCGAAGGCGACUGUCUGGCACACUACUGACGCUGAGGUGCGAAAGCGUGGGGAGCAAACAGGAUUAGAUACCCCCGUAGUCC
rnacentral:rRNA from 1 species